rnacentral:rRNA from 1 species
AAUAGAUACCCAGGUAGUCCACGCCGUAAACGAUGAGUGCUAAGUGUUAGAGGGUUUCCGCCCUUUAGUGCUGCAGCUAACGCAUUAAGCACUCCGCCUGGGGAGUACGGCCGCAAGGCUGAAACUCAAAGGAAUUGACGGGGGCCCGCACAAGCGGUGGAGCAUGUGGUUUAAUUCGAAGCAACGCGAAGAACCUUACCAGGUCUUGACAUCCUCUGCCAACCCUAGAGAUAGGGCGUUCCCCUUCGGGGGACAGAGUGACAGGUGGUGCAUGGUUGUCGUCAGCUCGUGUCGUGAGAUGUUGGGUUAAGUCCCGCAACGAGCGCAACCCUUGAUCUUAGUUGCCAGCAUUCAGUUGGGCACUCUAAGGUGACUGCCGGUGACAAACCGGAGGAAGUGGGGAUGACGUCAAAUCAUCAUGCCCCUUAUGACCUGGGCUACACACGUGCUACAAUGGAUGGUACAAAGAGCUGCGAACCCGCGAGGGUAAGCGAAUCUCAUAAAGCCAUUCUCAGUUCGGAUUGUAGG